rnacentral:rRNA from 1 species
GAUGAACGCUGGCGGCGUGCCUAAUACAUGCAAGUCGAGCGAACAGACGAGGAGCUUGCUCCUCUGACGUUAGCGGCGGACGGGUGAUUAACACGUGGAUAAUGUACCUAUAAGACUGGGAUAACUUCGGGAAACCGGAGCUAAUACCGGAUAACAUGUUGAACCGCAUGGUUCAACAGUGAAAGACGGUCUUGCUGUCACUUAUAGAUGGAUCCGCGCCGCAUUAGCUAGUUGGUAAGGUAACGGCUUACCAAGGCAACGAUGCGUAGCCGACCUGAGAGGGUGAUCGGCCACACUGGAACUGAGACACGGUCCAGACUCCUACGGGAGGCAGCAGUAGGGAAUCUUCCGCAAUGGGCGAAAUCCUGACGGAGCAACGCCGCGUGAGUGAAGAAGGUCUUCGGAUCGUAAAACUCUGUUAUUAGGGAAGAACAAAUGUGUAAGUAACUAUGCACGUCUUGACGGUACCUAAUCAGAAAGCCACGGCUAACUACGUG